GAAGGGCAAGCAGAGAGGAGAUGGUAUACCAAGAAGGCAGAGCUGUUACCUUCUACUAGAGCACCUGGAAACCAAGUCCAAUGAGGUGAAAUGUGUGAUGAUGUAGAUGGAGUUCAGACCAUGCCCUGGUCACUUUGGAGCUGCCAUGAGGGCCUCCUGUGGCCCUGUCCAGAGACACUCAUUGGCAGGGAGCUUUGGAGAAGGGAGUCCUGGAGGGAUGAAUGGUACAGCAUUAUGCUCUGUAGAGGUACUAUUUUGCAUAAUUCCUACAACAGCACAUGAUAAGGUCUUUGUGGGGAAACUGAGGCUUGGGGAGGCCAAGGAGUUACCUGUAGACCCUCAGUUAGUAAAUGUUGGAAGCAAAACUCAAACCUUAAUCUACAUUGAAAAGGGUGUGGUUCAUGGGAGGUAAAGAUAUAUUUUGAGGACGCAAAAGAAAAAAGUUGAUGGAUACCAUCUCCAGAGUGAAGAGAAGGUAGGUGCCAUUUACAGGAAAAGUACGUGGAUUUCUCCAAUGAGAGCAACAGAUGCCCAUCUCUUCUUAGAAACCUAGAACCAACAGUAAGGGAGUCAUGAAGAGCUGGAGCUCAAACAAGAACUACCAUUAUGUCAAUCUGAGUGACUUCCAAGAUUAAUCUCUAUGUGUCUCGUGUUUAUUAACUUAUUUAACUUAUUUACUUUUCUUAACUUUGGUAGCAAGUGGGAUGGGGUCUUUUGUGAAUGCCAUCUCAAGGAUGGGUUCCAUUCUGUCCUUUAUUUUAUUUUAUUUUUUGACAGGCAGAGUUAGACAGUGAGAGAGAGAGACAGAAAGGUCUUCCUUCCAUUUCAUUUCCAGUUCAUUCCCCUAAUGGCCGCUACGGCCCGCACUGCACCGAUCUGAAGCCAGGAGCCGGGUGUUCCUCCCGGUCUCCCAUGUGGGUGCAGGGACCCAAGCACUUGGGCCAUCCUCCACUGCUGUCCCGGGCCACAGCAGAGAGCUGGACUGGAAGAGGAGCAACCGGGACUAGUACCCAGCACCCCAACUGGGACUAGAACCCGGGGUGCUGGCGCAGCAGGCAGAGGAUUAGCCAAGUGAGCCAUGGCGCCAGCCCCAUUCUGGCCUUAAACUUGCUCUUCCCUUCUGUUCAUUCUGCCUACCCAGACAUGCCAUACCACUAUGACAUGGUCCCCUCCUUUCUGCUUUUCCAAUUGUAACCCAUAUUUCAGGAGCAAUUUAGGGCUUAUGCGCCCAGGGCACCUCCCUAACCUCCAGCAUCUAAUGGGUGACUCUUUCUACCACCCUCAGGAACUUCUGUCUCCUGAGAGUCUGUGAUGGCUACUGUCAGAGCUGCUUGUAGCUUUACAUUCUUUUUUGCCAUCUCUCCUUCAUACUGCCAAUUUUAUGUACAAUUUUUCUGUUUUAAUUCUGCAAAGCACACCUUUAUUUUACAGUUAUGGUUUGUGGUCAACAUUUUAUAGCUUCUCAAACAUGGAUCAUUUCUAUCUAACAAUCUGAAGAAGUGACACUGUGCCCUUGGAAGAUGUUGUUUUAUUUGGGU